GAAAAGAAACCAACAGGGAUUUGCCCAGUAACGGCGAGUGAAGCGGCAAAAGCUCAAAUUUGAAAUCUGGCAUCUUUGGUGUCCGAAUUGUAAUUUGGAGAGGCAACUUCAGGCAGGACCCAGUCUAUGUUCCUUGGAACAGGACGUCAUAGAGGGUGAGAAUCCCGUUCUUGACUGGCUGUUCCUGCUAGUAUGUAGUGCCUUCUACGAGUCGAGUUGUUUGGGAAUGCAGCUCAAAAUGGGUGGUAAAUUUCAUCUAAAGCUAAAUAUUGGCGAGAGACCGAUAGCGCACAAGUAGAGUGAUCGAAAGAUGAAAAGCACUUUGAAAAUAGAGUCAAAAAGUACGUGAAAUUGUUGAAAGGGAAGCGCUUGAGACCAGACUCAGCCUUUGGCAAACAAGUGUCCUUCUGGGCAGUGCACUUGCCUUGGGUUGGGCCAGUAUCAGUUAGGAUGGUAGGAGAAAGGCUAGGGGAAUGUGACUCCUAUUUGGAGUGUUAUAGACCCUGGUGUCAUGCUACCCGUCCUGACUGUGGACCGCGCAUUAGCUAGGAUACUGGCGUAAUGGUCUUCA
rnacentral:rRNA from 1 species